rnacentral:rRNA from 1 species
GAUGAACGCUGGCGGCGUGCUUAACACAUGCAAGUCGAACGGUGAAGCAGGAGCUUGCUCUUGUGGAUCAGUGGCGAACGGGUGAGUAACACGUGAGCAACCUGCCCCUGACUCUGGGAUAAGCGCUGGAAACGGCGUCUAAUACUGGAUAUGUGAUGUGACCGCAUGGUCUGCAUCUGGAAAGAAUUUCGGUUGGGGAUGGGCUCGCGGCCUAUCAGCUUGUUGGUGAGGUAAUGGCUCACCAAGGCGUCGACGGGUAGCCGGCCUGAGAGGGUGACCGGCCACACCGGGACUGAGACACGGCCCAGACUCCUACGGGAGGCAGCAGUGGGGAAUAUUGCACAAUGGGCGGAAGCCUGACGCAGCAACGCCGCGUGAGGGAUGACGGCCUUCGGGUUGUAAACCUCUUUUAGCAGGGAAGAAGCGAAAGUGACGGUACCUGCAGAAAAAGCACCGGCUAACUACGUGCCAGCCGCCGCAGUAA